CCGACCACUCCAACACGAAUCCCGCUUUAGCAUCGCAUUGCCUGCAACGGACAGGGCAACUGUCGCUGGGAUGCUCUCUAGCUAUAUGGAUGGAAUUCGGCCCACCGUACCUGUACGCCCAGCUCAGAAGAAUACGGCCACCCGUCCCCUCCACGCAAAAAAAAAAAAAGGAGCGGAACUGCCCACAUCUGUGCGUGCGUCCCUCCUCUUCCUACCCUCUCUGACUCAUCUAGAAUUUCCAAAAUCGAUCCAUCUGUUUGCUCCUCAAAGAUUGGAUCAGGAAUCUAAGCCAUGGGGCUAAUGGUUGGUGACGGCUCUCCGAUGCGCGGCGGCGGCGGGCAGUGCUGGUGGCGGAACCCCGGUGCGCAGUUCCCACCGCGGCGGCUCCUGGUUCUGGAUGUGCAGUGGCUACACAUUGUACAGUCAACUGAUUAUUGUCCUCUGGUUUGCAACUCUAGGUGAAUAAACAUCUGCAGUACUGUUGAGAUGUGCCCGAUAUAUUGCCAUCAAUGUUAGAUGUCUGUAACUGCAAUUUUCACAAAAGGAGGCAAUAAUGGAUAUGAGAUGCAAGAUCACAGGAUGACUGUUCAAAUAAAUAUAGAUAGCCAAGUUUCUUCAAUAAGAGUUUUCCUUCAACAUUUGGAAAUCUGGGAAUCUAGUGUUCAUUCAGACAAGGAUAUUUCUACUUCAGCUUUAGAACAGAGAUUCGGCUGAUGCAGAGUGAACUUGAACAGAGAGUUGUCAGUUUGUCAGGACAAAUGUAUGACACUGUAGGUGUUGAGAUGAUUCAAGGAUGAAGUAUGGAAACACAAGAAAGUUUACCCAUUUCAGAUGUCAUGUAUAUUUUACUUCUGGUCUGGAAUAUUGUAUAUGCUGUAUACCGUCCUUCCAUGUACAAAACAACUUAUUUAAUGGAAAUAUAUGGUAUCUUGAAAGA